rnacentral:lncRNA from 1 species
GCAUGCUACAAACAAUUUCAUCUGCCAUGCUGAAGGGAAAAAUGGGAUCGAAGAAACAGAAGGAACAGGGAAACACAGCAGCAUGCUACAGAGCAGUCUAGAGAAUUAAACAAGGCUUGAAUAGCCCGAAAACAUACAGUCUCACAGCUUGUCAAGCACAUAUCCUGAAAAGAAAUGCUUGGAAUCAAUUUAUGUUAUCAUUUGCUUAUUUUAAAUUUUCUUGUCUUGUAAUAGCUAAUGAUGCAAUCCAUCUUUUUUCUCUUAUCUAAGACCAUCUAGAUUGUCACCUCAUUUAUUUAUUUAUUUGUGCACUGCACUGUCUGUGAUAGUUAAACUAUUUAUCGUACAACAAAAAUCCUUAUACACUCUGUUUGCAUUGACGAAAUCUGUGGCAGCUGUGUUGUGAUCAUUGUGUGCCUCUAAAAGCCUCCAGCCAGUUUGACAUAGAUUGGCAAUAUCUGACUUCGAAGGACUGGUGGUAACGAGGGGUGGAGGAAUCAAUUCCUCAUUGCUCUGUAAGAAGGAAAAUAGAAGUACUGAGCUGGGUCUAGACUACUUCUGCCACUAUGGAUUUACUGCACAUUGUGAUACAAUUAUCUAUAGGCAGGAAUUCAGCUUGCUGAUGAAAAACAGCAGCAGAGGACUGAAUAAACCACCUCUAACACUGAAGAACAAUGGAUUAACCAUUGCAAGGAUUUCACUCCACAAUAAGGUAGAUGCCCUAAUGACAGCCUACCUCGUUUAUCUGGGAGCUGUUCCAGUCUCUACAAGCAAUUUCCCUCCCAUUAGAGGAAUGACGUGAACCUCAAGCUGCCACCUGCAUGCCAGGACUUGUUCUUCUCUCAUUUGUACUCAAAGGAUUGGAGAAGUAGAAUCAAAAAGGAACCAAAUAUGAGACAGAUGAGUGAAUUAGACACCAUAAUUUGUCAAGAUACAGAUUUAAGAACUACCACAUCUGUCGCAGAGCUAUAUAAAAAUUCUAGUAAGUUCUAGUGGCAUAGAAGACCUUAUCUUCAUGACUUUUCUUGUGAUGUGCUUUGUGAUGUGACAUGAUUUGCAAACAAAAUAAAUCAUCAGUCUCCUGA